rnacentral:rRNA from 1 species
AUGAACGCUGGCGGCGUGCCUAAUACAUGCAAGUCGAGCGAACGGACGAGAAGCUUGCUUCUCUGAUGUUAGCGGCGGACGGGUGAGUAACACGUGGAUAACCUACCUAUAAGACUGGGAUAACUUCGGGAAACCGGAGCUAAUACCGGAUAAUAUUUUGAACCGCAUGGUUCAAAAGUGAAAGACGGUCUUGCUGUCACUUAUAGAUGGAUCCGCGCUGCAUUAGCUAGUUGGUAAGGUAACGGCUUACCAAGGCAACGAUGCAUAGCCGACCUGAGAGGGUGAUCGGCCACACUGGAACUGAGACACGGUCCAGACUCCUACGGGAGGCAGCAGUAGGGAAUCUUCCGCAAUGGGCGAAAGCCUGACGGAGCAACGCCGCGUGAGUGAUGAAGGUCUUCGGAUCGUAAAACUCUGUUAUUAGGGAAGAACAUAUGUGUAAGUAACUGUGCACAUCUUGACGGUACCUAAUCAGUAAGCCACGGCUAACUACGUG